GAUCCGGUGGCCUAGUGGUUAGAGCGUCCGCCUCAGAUGCGGGAGGUCGUGAGUUCGAUCCCCUGUCGAGUGAUACCA